ensembl:lncRNA
GAGCCACGGUGAGCUCAUGGCACAGCACCGCAGAGCCACGGUGAGCUCAUGGCACAGCACUGCAGAGCCACGGUGAGCUCAUGGCACACAGCACAGCACUACAGAGCCACGGUGAGCUCAUGGCACACAGCACCGCAGAGCCACGCCACGGUGAGCUCAUGGCACACAGCACAGCACUACAGAGCCACGGUGAGCUCAUGGCACACAGCACCGCAGAGCCACGGUGAGCUCAUGGCACAGCACCGCAGAGCCACGGUGAGCUCAUGGCACACAGCACAGCACCGCAGAGCCAUGGUGAGCUCAUGGCACAGCACCGCAGAGCCACGGUGAGCUCAUGGCACACAGCACAGAGCCACGGUGAGCUCAUGGCACAGCACCGCAGAGCCACGGUGAGCUCAUGGCACACAGCAC